GUCGCUUUGGUGGAGUGGUUAACACGUUGCCCUGCUAUGAAUCUCCUUCAUGGUUCGUAACCAGUUAGGCAAUUCCUUCGGGAGCGUAGGUUCGAAUCCUGCAGGCGACG